rnacentral:tRNA from 1 species
AGUGCUACACCGGAAGAACGGAUUACUUUGAUGAGGUAAAAUAUGGGAUAUUCCUUGGCACUU